CAUAUAGCUCAGUGGUUAGAGCGUUACGUUGACAUCGUAAAGGUCGUAGGUUCGACUCCUAUUAUGCC
rnacentral:tRNA from 1 species